rnacentral:misc_RNA from 1 species
UCAAACUUGGUCAUUUAGAGGAAGUAAAAGUCGUAACAAGGUUUCCGUAGGUGAACCUGCGGAAGGAUCAUUAAUGAAUAAACUUGGUCAGGCUGUUGCUGGUCCUUCGGGGCAUGUGCACGCUUGCCACCAAUUUUAACCACCUGUGCACCCUUUGUAGACUGGAAACUAUUCUCGAGGCAACUCGGAUUGAGGAUUGCUGUGCGAAAGCCAGCUGUUCUUGUGUUUCUCGGUCUAUGUUUUUAUAUACUCCGAAUGUAUGUAUCAGAAUGUAUUGCUGGGCCUCAGUGCCUGUAAAUCAAAUACAACUUUCAACAACGGAUCUCUUGGCUCUCGCAUCGAUGAAGAACGCAGC